CCACCACAAGCAUGUACCGGCGGUCAAACCUGCCCUUACGAUCACUAUAGCUUGUGGAUUUACUGAUAGGCAUAUUCACUUCAUAAUAACUUGCUGUAAUUUUCUUCACCCAUUUCAGUUGUUGCUGUCGAAGGAGGCAUGGCCACUGGACCCAUUGCUUUUGCGAAACCUUCUGCUGAAGCCACCACGUCAGACUGUCCUUCUAUCUCCAUGUUAGAACCCGCUAUUGGAGAAGUUUCUGGUGGAACUCCAAUAAGCUUUCUGCGUUUGUUAUGCUUCUUCUUAAGCCCUCGUUGAGACAUUGUUGGAGCACCUAAUUAACCAUGAA
rnacentral:misc_RNA from 1 species